rnacentral:lncRNA from 1 species
CCAGCCCUGCAUUCCUGGUAUAAAUCCUACUUGAUCAUAGUGUAUUAUCCUGGAGAUGAUUUUCUGUAGUCUUUUUGCUAAUAUCUUAUUUAAGAUUUUAGCAUCAAUAUUCAUUAGGGAGAUUGGUCUAUAAUUUUCUUUCUCUGUUUUCAACCUACCUGGUUUAGGUAUCAUUACCAUGUCUGUGUCAUAGAAGGAAUUUGGUAGGACUCCUUCAUUCCCUAUUUUAUCAAAUAAUUUAUAUAACAUUGGGGCCAAUUGUUCUUUAAAUGUUUGGUAAAAUUCACAUGUAAAUCCAUCUGGUCCUGGGGAUUUUUUCUUAGGGAGUUGUUUAAUUGCCUGUUCUAUUUCUUUUUCUGAAAUGGGAUUAUUCAAGCAAUUUACUUCCUCCUCUAUUAGUCUGGGAAGUCUAUAUUUUUGGAGGUAGUCAUCCAUUUCACUUAGGUUAUCAAAUUUAUUGGCAUAAAGUUGAGCAAAACAACUCCUUAUUAUUUCUCUAAUUUCCUCUUCAUUGGUGGAAAGUUCUCCCUUUUCAUUUUUAAGACUGCUAAUUUCAUUUUCUCCCUCCUUUUUCUAAUCAGAUUUACCAAAGGCUUAUCUGUUUUAUUGGCUUUUUCAUAGAACCAACUCUUAGUUUUAUUAAUUAGUUCUAUAGUUUUUUUUUUACUUUCAAUAUUUUUAAUUUCUCCUUUUAAUUUUAGAAUUUCUGAUUUAGUAUUUGAUUGGGGGUUUUUAAUUUGGUCUUUUUUUUUAGUUUUUUUAGUUGCAAGCCCAAUUCAUUAUUCUUUUCUUUCUCUGUUUUAUUCAAGUAAGCCUCUAAGGAUAUAAAAUUCCCUCUUAUUACCACUUUGGCUGCAUCCCACAAAUUUUGGUAUGACGUCUCAUCAUUGUCAUUAUCUUGAGUGAAAUUAUUAAUUGUAUCUAUAAUUUGCUGCUUCACCCAAUCAUUCUUAAAGAUGAGAUUGUUUAGGUUCCAAUUACUUUUUGGUCUAUUUCCCACUAACUUUUUGUUGAAUGUAGUUUUUAUUGCAUCAUGAUCUGAAAAGAAAGCAUUUACUAUUUCUGCUUUCUUGCAUUUAAUUUUGAGGUCUUUAUGUCCUAAUAUAUGAUCAAUUUUUGAAUAAGUUCCAUGAACUGCUGAGAAGAAAGUAUAUUCCUUUCUAUCUCCAUUCAAUUUUCUCCAAAGAUCUAACAUAUCUAAUUUUUCUAAUAUUCUAUUUACUUCUUUAAUUUCCUUCUUAUUUGUUUUGUGGUUUGAUUUGUCUAAUUCUGAGAGUGCAAGGUUGAGAUCUCCCACUAUUACAGUUUUGUUAUCUAUUUCUUCUUGCAACUCUCUUAACUUCUCCUUUAGGAAGUUGGAUGCCAUACCACUUGGUGCAUAUAUGUUUAAUAUUGAUAUUGCUUCGUUGUUUAUGCUACCCUUUAACAGGAUGUAGUUUCCUUCCUUAUCUCUUUUAAUUAGAUCAAUUUUUGCUUUUGCUUGAUCUGAG